GGGCUACACACGUGCUACAAUGGCGGUGACAGUGGGAAGCUAGAUGGUGACACCAUGCUGAUCUCUAAAAGCCGUCUCAGUUCGGAUUGCACUCUGCAACUCGAGUGCAUGAAGGUGGAAUCGCUAGUAAUCGCGGAUCAGCAUGCCGCGGUGAA
rnacentral:rRNA from 1 species